GACGAACGCUGGCGGCGUGCCUAAUACAUGCAAGUAGAACGCUGAAGGAGGAGCUUGCUUCUCUGGAUGAGUUGCGAACGGGUGAGUAACGCGUAGGUAACCUGCCUGGUAGCGGGGGAUAACUAUUGGAAACGAUAGCUAAUACCGCAUAAGAGUAGAUGUUGCAUGACAUUUGCUUAAAAGUUGCAAUUGCAUCACUACCAGAUGGACCUGCGUUGUAUUAGCUAGUUGGUGGGGUAACGGCUCACCAAGGCGACGAUACAUAGCCGACCUGAGAGGGGGAUCGGCCACACUGGGACUGAGACACGGCCCAGACUCCUACGGGAGGCAGCAGUAGGGAAUCUUCGGCAAUUGACGGAAGUCUGACCGAGCAACGCCGCGUGAGGGAAGAAGGUUUUCGGAUCGUAAAGCUCUGUUGUAAGAGAAGAACGAGUGUGAGAGUGGAAAGUUCACACUGUGACGGUAUCUUACCAGAAAGGGACGGCUAACUACGUG
rnacentral:rRNA from 1 species